rnacentral:rRNA from 1 species
AACGAACGCUGGCGGCAGGCCUAACACAUGCAAGUCGAACGCUGCAGCAAUGCAGAGUGGCAGACGGGUGAGUAACGCGUGGGAACCUUCCCAAUGGUACGGAAUAGCCCAGGGAAACUUGGGGUAAUACCGUAUAAGCCCCAUGGGGGAAAGAUUUAUCGCCAUUGGAUGGGCCCGCGUCGGAUUAGCUAGUUGGUGAGGUAACGGCUCACCAAGGCGACGAUCCGUAGCUGGUUUGAGAGAAUGACCAGCCACACUGGGACUGAGACACGGCCCAGACUCCUACGGGAGGCAGCAGUGGGGAAUCUUGGACAAUGGGCGAAAGCCUGGUCCAGCCAUGCCGCGUGAGUGACGAAGGCCUUAGGGUUGUAAAGCUCUUUUGGCGGGGACGAUAAUGACGGUACCCGCAGAAUAAGUCCCGGCUAACUUCGUGCCAGCAGCCGCGGUAA